rnacentral:rRNA from 1 species
UUCUGGCUCAGGAUGAACGCUAGCGACAGGCUAACACAUGCAAGUCGAGGGGCAGCAUAAAAGUAGCAAUACUUGGUGGCGACCGGCGCACGGGUGAGUAACGCGUAUGCAACCUACCUAUCAGAGGGGAAUAACCCGGCGAAAGUCGGACUAAUACCGCAUAAAACAGGGACACCGCAUGGUGAUAUUUGUUAAAGAAAUUCGCUGAUAGAUGGGCAUGCGUUCCAUUAGGUAGUUGGUGAGGUAACGGCUCACCAAGCCGACGAUGGAUAGGGGAACUGAGAGGUUGGUCCCCCACACUGGUACUGAGACACGGACCAGACUCCUACGGGAGGCAGCAGUGAGGAAUAUUGGUCAAUGGGCGAGAGCCUGAACCAGCCAAGUCGCGUUGAAGGAAGAAGGAUCUAUGGUUCGUAAACUUCUUUUGCAGGGGAAUAAAGUGCAGGACGUGUCCUGUUUUGUAUGUACCCUGAGAAUAAGGAUCGGCUAACUCCGUGCCAGCCGCCGC